GAUUCAUGGUAAUCCUGGAGCAGGAAGCUGAUGUGAUUUGGAUCUCAUAGACUUGUCUUCAGCUCUUGCCCCAUUGUGUUAAGCUAUGUCACUGAAUGGAUCAUGCAGCGAGGUUUGCACCUGUGUGAAUCUUGAACCUGUAUUCAAUGCACGGUUCAAUCUCUGUUGCUACAGCUUUGAAUAAUUCUUCCCCAGAUCUUCGUCCUUUUUUUCUGUCUUCCAACAUGACUCCUUCCUUUUACCCCAAUUUUGAAUCUCUCCCCUGCCCUUUCCUUUUCUCAUGUGUCCAUGGCUUGACGUACAUCAUGGUUGACACAGUAAGUGUAAUGAGAUGUAGUGCUCCUCCUAACAUAGUGCACGUUACAUUUGCAGGAAGAUACAUUAUAUCUAAAAAUACUUAAUUCUCUCAUUGUCCCAGAUGAGUGUUCUUCUGGAAGGGAAGGGAAGUUCAGCUGCUUGGUUGAGUCUUUUGCCGUGGUGGACUGCUGUUACCCAUAUGAGUAUCAGGGAGGACACAUUAUGGGGGCUCUGAGCCUGCCCAACACAGACGAGGCAGUGGAUAGCAUACUGUCCCAGAGGCUAAAACCCACACAUUUGAUAAGAGGCUUGUGUUGGAGCUGCACUGUGAAUUCUCCUCCGAAAGAGCACCCAGAACGUGACAUACAUACCUUUUUGUCACGUCCUCCUGUGUGUGUUUUCGUGUUCGUGUGUGUGUAUCAAAUCUGCAGAUUACAUAUUAUCUGCUUUUGACUCCUGACCAGAAAUGUGUUUUUUUCUGCAUGUAUUCCAUUUGAAAUUAAGUCGCUCCUCAUGAGAGAGUGCUUUUCUCAUUCUGUAGGUGUCGCCUCUUGCGCAGUGUGGACCACAGCAUGAACGAAUACCCAGCCCUGCACUAUCCUCAAGGGUGGCUACAUAGACUUCUCUCACCAGGAGCACUGUGAGCCCCAGUCCUACUGCCCCAUGCACCACGAAGACCACAGAAAGGAGCUGCUGCGGUGCCGCACACACAGCCGAGCCUCCGCCUAGGAGCACCGCAGACGCCACCACAUCCAAACUUUUGUCAAACUCUGAGCCAGUCGUGUCGAGGAUGGAGUCCAGGAGAAGAACAGACACUCAGAGGGACAGCUGAGUCCAAACGGUGACCUCGAGAUUGUCCGUUUAAUUAUCCUACAGGAACCUACUUGACUAUGUGAUAACAAAUUGCCCUUUUGUUGUGCUUGCUCGCUUUCCAAAUGGAACCCUUUUUCACAUGCUGUCAUGUAAACUAUGCACUAUGUCGCUGUUCACUGAUGCCUUUGUCCAUUUUGUAGUAUAUCUUAAUUACAGUAGAGACCGCAGGUCGCCUUUUCAAAUUGCUUUAAUGUAAUUUCCACAUUGCAGAGCAGAAAAUGGUGGCAUUAUUUCCAGUGUCAAUCAUGGAUGUAUGUUUUCAUUAUUAAUGGGAAUCAUGACUUAAUUUGAGCUCUUCUGAAUACCAUUUUUUUAACCAGAGUGAAUGACCUUGGAGUUUAGGUUGAAUAGUUUUUAAUGUUUUGAUUAUAUCAGGGACCUGCGCAUGAAUUAAUGCAUUAUCUAUGACAUUUAUAAUUAAAAAACACACAAAAAAACUUAACUCUUAUUUUAAUUAUAUUAUUUCAAUGGGUAUCAUAUGGCCCAUGGACAGUAAAACCAAAACAUAAAGGAGAAAAUCUUUAGAAGUAUUUUUUUAUUAGGCUUGUCCUUGUGAAUAUCCUUAGACUUUAUCCCUGCCCGUGCCACAGGUGUGUCUAGUUUGCAGCUGUGAUUCCUCCCCCAACACAGCUGGGUUAACUCUAUCCCCCUCGCUGUUAAAAAGCCCCCCUCUUCUAUGCACAGCAGCUGUAAUUGCGGAACAA